rnacentral:rRNA from 1 species
AUUGAACGCUGGCGGCGUGCCUAACACAUGCAAGUCGAGCGGUAACAGGUGUAGCAAUACAUGCUGACGAGCGGCGAACGGGUGAGUAAUGCUUCGGAAUCUACCUUAUGGUGGGGAAUAACUAGCCGAAAGGUUAGCUAAUACCGCAUACGUCCUACGGGAGAAAGCAGGGGAUCGCAAGACCUUGCGCCAAAAGAUGAGCCGAAGUCGGAUUAGCUAGUUGGUAGGGUAACGGCCUACCAUGGCGACGAUCCGUAGCUGGUCUGAGAGGACGACCAGCCACACUGGGACUGAGACACGGCCCAGACUCCUACGGGAGGCAGCAGUGGGGAAUAUUGGACAAUGGGGGAAACCCUGAUCCAGCGACGCCGCGUGUGUGAAGAAGGCCUGCGGGUUGUAAAGCACUUUUAGUGGGGAUGAAAUGUGCAGGGUUAAUACCUCUGCAUUUUGACCUAACCCACAGAAAAAGCACCGGCUAACUUUGUGCCAGCCGCCGCAGUAA